rnacentral:lncRNA from 1 species
CCUGCGUUGGUGGGCGCGCCGCGGGCUCUAAAAGCUCGACUGUCGGCCGGGCGCUGUGGCGCACGCCUGUAAUCCCAGCACUUUGGGAGGGCAAGGUGAUGUUGGACGUGACAGAGGAGGUGACAGGUCACCCUGAGUGCGGGACUCCGUGUCCAGAAGGAAGUGGGCCUCCAGGUGCCACGCCUUUGCUUCUGCUGUGGCAUCUGAUGAGUUCCCUGUUCAUCUCUCCAGGCAUUCCCAGGGCAGUCAGCCCUGAUGCCCAGGGGCUAGGCUUGCAAGACCGCGCAUUAGGUUCGCAGAGCUAGAGUGCAAGGCCAGACCUGGUACCAACAGCAUCUCCGCCUUCGUCCUCAUCUGGUUCCCGCCUCAAACCUGUACCUGUGCGGAGGAGCCUGGAAGAAGAACUAAAACUAUAGUUCCAGCUACUUCAGAGGCUAAGGUGGGAAGAUGGCUUGAAU